rnacentral:lncRNA from 1 species
UUGGUCUAAAGUUUGGUUCUAGGGUGGUAUUUGUAUGGGAGAAUGGGUAGGGAAUGGUAUGGAAGGGUUUAGGAUUGAUGGGGGGUACGGCUAGGGUAAAAAGAAUCAGAAAAAUAUGGAAGAAUGGUGAAGGAAGGUUGCGGCAAAGAGAGGGAAUGAUUUCCGGCGAAAAUUCUAAAUAUGGAGGGGUGGUUGAUGUGUUUUUUAUGUUCCCUUAUGUUCUUCCCUUCACUCCCUAUUUAUAGAAGCUCCAAAGCAAAGAAUCACUCAAGUGGCUUCAAUAAACAAUACAAACAAAGACCAAAAUGAUGCAAAACAGCUAGUUUACAUGCUCUUUUAUCAUUGUGUCUUGCCUUUAACAAAAGGCAAUCAUUCCUCUCUUGCUAAUUCAACUCCUUUGUAGUUGUCCAUGUGCCUUCAUUCUUCAAUUUCUGAUGCAUUUGCCUUGUAUUCCAUCCCUUUUCCACAUGUACU